rnacentral:lncRNA from 1 species
CACCUAUCUCGUCGUUGCGCUCUCCCUCGUGGUCCUCAGCUUGCUCGUCUCCCUCGUCCUUGCAUCGGCUAUGGGGGGCUCCUACAUGCUCCCGAUGAAGCAUCAUCGCCCUCUGAGUUGGCGAGAGGAAGGUGUUCGUUUUUUCUACUGAGCAUUCUUGAUGUGGUUCUCAAUUGUUCUUGGAUAGCAGUUUGCAAUGCUUGUAUAUAGAUUUUAAUCUUCAUUUUGUAAGGGAGCUUUGAUUUGUUUGCUGUAGUAUAUAUGAUCAUUUGAGAGAAUUUUUCCACUGUGAUCAUUUAAAGCUGCUUUAGAGGGAAAAUAAGAAAAGAAAAAUCACGCACGCCCACACACAGUAUGUGUGCAUGUGAAAUAUUUUAUAAGUUAUUAAUUUUUGUUUCAUGUUGUACAUAUUAUUUAUAAAGCUUAGAUAUACUUAGAAA